rnacentral:rRNA from 1 species
ACUCCUACGGGAGGCAGCAGUGGGGAAUAUUGCACAAUGGGCGCAAGCCUGAUGCAGCCAUGCCGCGUGUAUGAAGAAGGCCUUCGGGUUGUAAAGUACUUUCAGCAGUGAGGAAGGCCGGGGGUACCGUUUAAAUAGGCCGUUCUCGUUUGACGUUAGCUGCAGAAGAAGCACCGGCUAACUCCGUGCCAGCAGCCGCGGUAAUACGGAGGGUGCGAGCGUUAAUCGGAAUUACUGGGCGUAAAGCGCAUGCAGGUGGUUUGUUAAGUCAGAUGUGAAAGCCCGGGGCUUAACCUCGGAAUAGCAUUUGAAACUGGCAGACUAGAGUACUGUAGAGGGGGUAGAAUUUCAGGUGUAGCGGUGAAAUGCGUAGAGAUCUGAAGGAAUACCGGUGGCGAAGGCGGCCCCCUGGACAGAUACUGACACUCAGAUGCGAAAGCGUGGGGAGCAAACAGGAUUAGAUACCCUGGUAGCUACG